GUGGGGAAUAUUGGACAAUGGGCGAAAGCCUGAUCCAGCCAUGCCGCGUGUGUGAAGAAGGUCUUCGGAUUGUAAAGCACUUUAAGUUGGGAGGAAGGGCAGUAAGUUAAUACCUUGCUGUUUUGACGUUACCGACAGAAUAAGCACCGGCUAACUUCGUGCCAGCAGCCGCGGUAAUACGAAGGGUGCAAGCGUUAAUCGGAAUUACUGGGCGUAAAGCGCGCGGAGGUGGUUUUGUAAGUUGGAGGUGAAAUCCCCGGGCUCAACCUGGGAACUGCCUCCAAAACUGCAUGACUAGAGUAUGGUAGAGGGUAGUGGAAUUUCCUGUGUAGCGGUGAAAUGCGUAGAUAUAGGAAGGAACACCAGUGGCGAAGGCGACUACCUGGACUGAUACUGACACUGAGGUGCGAAAGCGUGGGGAGCAAACAGGAUUAGAAACCCCAGUAGUCC
rnacentral:rRNA from 1 species